rnacentral:rRNA from 1 species
GAUGAACGCUAGCUACAGGCUUAACACAUGCAAGUCGCGGGGCAGCAUGGGGGUUGCUUGCAAUCCCCGAUGGCGACCGGCGCACGGGUGAGUAACGCGUAUCCAACCUGCCCUUCACCACGGGAUAACCCGGCGAAAGUCGGACUAAUACCGUAUGUUGUCCAUUGACGGCAUCCGAUUUGGACGAAAGGUUUGGCGGUGAAGGAUGGGGAUGCGUCCGAUUAGCUGGACGGCGGGGUGACGGCCCACCGUGGCGACGAUCGGUAGGGGUUCUGAGAGGAAGGUCCCCCACACUGGAACUGAGACACGGUCCAGACUCCUACGGGAGGCAACAGUGAGGAAUAUUGGUCAAUGGGCGUAAGCCUGAACCAGCCAAGUAGCGUGCAGGAUGACGGCCCUAUGGGUUGUAAACUGCUUUUAUGCGGGGAUAAAGUGGCCCACGUGUGGGUUUUUGCAGGUACCGCAUGAAUAAGGACCGGCUAAUUCCGUG